rnacentral:tRNA from 1 species
GGAGGUGGAGCUCAGUGGUAGAGCUAAUGCUUGGUGUGCAUGAGGUCCUUGGUUCAAUCCCCAGUGCCUCUG